rnacentral:rRNA from 1 species
CCCGCCCGCUGGCGGCAUGCCUAACACAUGCAAGUCGAACGAGACCUUCGGGUCUAGUGGCGCACGGGUGCGUAACGCGUGGGAACCUGCCCUUAGGUUCGGAAUAACUCCCCGAAAGGGGUGCUAAUACCGGAUAAUGUCUUCGGACCAAAGAUUUAUCGCCUUUGGAUGGGCCCGCGUUGGAUUAGCUAGUUGGUAGGGUAAAAGCCUACCAAGGCGACGAUCCAUAGCUGGUCUGAGAGGAUGAUCAGCCACACUGGGACUGAGACACGGCCCAGACUCCUACGGGAGGCAGAAGUGGGGAAUAUUGGACAAUGGGCGAAAGCCUGAUACAGCAAUGCCGCGUGAGUGAUGAAGGCCUUAGGGUUGUAAAGCUCUUUUACCCGGGAUGAUAAUGACAGUACCGGGAGAAUAAGCUCCGGCUAACUCGGUG